rnacentral:rRNA from 1 species
GAUGAACGCUGGCGGCGUGCCUAAUACAUGCAAGUCGAGCGAACAGACGAGGAGCUUGCUCCUCUGACGUUAGCGGCGGACGGGUGAGUAACACGUGGAUAACCUACCUAUAAGACUGGGAUAACUUCGGGAAACCGGAGCUAAUACCGGAUAAUAUAUUGAACCGCAUGGUUCAAUAGUGAAAGACGGUUUUGCUGUCACUUAUAGAUGGAUUCGCGCCGCAUUAGCUAGUUGGUAAGGUAACGGCUUAACAAGGCAACGAUGCGUAGCCGACCUGAGAGGUUGAUCGGCCACACUGGAACUGAGACACGGUCCAGACUCCUACGGGAGGCAGCAGUAGAGAAUCUUCCGCAAUGGACGAAAGCCUGACGGAGCAACGCCGCGUGAGUGAUGAAGGUCUUCGGAUCGUAGAACUCUGUUAUUAGGGAAAAACAAAUGUGUAAGUAGCUAUGCACGUCUUGACGGUACCUGAUCAGAAAGCCACGGCUAACUACGUG